UGUCGUCAGCUCGUGUUGUGAAAUGUUGGGUUAAGUCCCGCAACGAGCGCAACCCUUAUCCUUUGUUGCCAGCGGUCCGGCCGGGAACUCAAAGGAGACUGCCAGUGAUAAACUGGAGGAAGGUGGGGAUGACGUCAAGUCAUCAUGGCCCUUACGACCAGGGCUACACACGUGCUACAAUGGCGCAUACAAAGAGAAGCGACCUCGCGAGAGCAAGCGGACCUCAUAAAGUGCGUCGUAGUCCGGAUUGGAGUCUGCAACUCGACUCCAUGAAGUCGGAAUCGCUAGUAAUCGUGGAUCAGAAUGCCACGGUGAAUACGUUCCCGGGCCUUGUACACACCGCCCGUCACACCAUG
rnacentral:rRNA from 1 species